UACGUAGGGUGCAAGCGUUGUCCGGAAUUAUUGGGCGUAAAGAGCUCGUAGGCGGUUUGUCGCGUCUGCUGUGAAAACGCGAGGCUCAACCUCGCGCCUGCAGUGGGUACGGGCAGACUAGAGUGCGGUAGGGGAGAUUGGAAUUCCUGGUGUAGCGGUGAAAUGCGCAGAUAUCAGGAGGAACACCGGUGGCGAAGGCGGGUCUCUGGGCCGUAACUGACGCUGAGGAGCGAAAGCAUGGGGAGCGAACAGG
rnacentral:rRNA from 1 species